UACGUAGGGUGCGAGCGUUGUCCGGAAUUACUGGGCGUAAAGAGCUCGUAGGUGGUUUGUCGCGUUGUUCGUGAAAACUCACAGCUCAACUGUGGGCGUGCGGGCGAUACGGGGCAGACUGGAGUACUGCAGGGGGAGACUGGAAUUCCUGGUGUAGCGGUGGAAUGCGCAGAUAUCAGGAGGAACACCGUAUAGCGAAGGCAGCUCGCUGGGACGACACUGACGCUGAGACGCGAAAGCGUGGGGAGCGAACAGG
rnacentral:rRNA from 1 species